rnacentral:rRNA from 1 species
AGAGUUUGAUCCUGGCUCAGAUUGAACGCUGGCGGCAGGCCUAACACAUGCAAGUCGAGCGGAAACGAUCCUAGCUUGCUAGGAGGCGUCGAGCGGCGGACGGGUGAGUAACACGUGAGAAUCUGCCCAUUAGUGGGGGAUAACCUGGGGAAACCCAGGCUAAUACCGCAUAAUCCCUACGGGGGAAAGCAGGGGACCUUCGGGCCUUGUGCUGAUGGAUGAGCUCGCGUCGGAUUAGCUUGUUGGUGAGGUAAUGGCUCACCAAGGCGACGAUCCGUAGCUGGUCUUAGAGGAUGAUCAGCCACACCGGGACUGAGACACGGCCCGGACUCCUACGGGAGGCAGCAGUGGGGAAUCUUGGACAAUGGGGGCAACCCUGAUCCAGCCAUGCCGCGUGUGUGAAGAAGGCCUUCGGGUUGUAAAGCACUUUCAGUAGGGAGGAAGGCUUAUCCUUAAUACGGAUGAGUACUUGACGUUACCUACAGAAGAAGCACCGGCUAAUUUCGUGCCAGCAGCCGCGGUAAUACGAAAGGUGCGAGCGUUAAUCGGAAUUACUGGGCGUAAAGCGCGCGUAGGCGGUUUGCUAAGUCAGAUGUGAAAGCCCCGGGCUCAACCUGGGAACUGCAUUUGAAACUGGCAGGCUAGAAUGCAGUAGAGGGAGGUGGAAUUUCCGGUGUAGCGGUGAAAUGCGUAGAGAUCGGAAGGAACACCAGUGGCGAAGGCGGCCUCCUGGACUGACAUUGACGCUGAGGUGCGAAAGCGUGGGGAGCAAACAGGAUUA